rnacentral:sRNA from 1 species
GCCAGGUGUGGUGGCUCAUGCCUAUAAUCCCUGCACUUUGGGAGGCUGAGGUGGGAGGAUCACUUGAGCCCAGGAUUUUGAGACCAGUCCAGGCAACACAGCGAAACCUAGUCUCUACCAAAAAAACAGGCAUGGUGAUGCACACCUGUAUUUCCAGCUACUUGGGAGGCUGAGGUGGGAGGAUCUCCUGAGCCCAGGUAGAGGCUGCAGUGAGCUGUGAUUGUGCCAUUGUACUCUAGCCUGGGCAACAGAGUGAGACCCUAUCUCA